UACGUAGGGUGCGAGCGUUGUCCGGAAUUAUUGGGCGUAAAGAGCUUGUAGGCGGUUUGUCGCGUCUGCUGUGAAAAUCCGAGGCUCAACCUCGGACUUGCAGUGGGUACGGGCGGACUAGAGUGUGGUAGGGGAGACUGGAAUUCCUGGUGUAGCGGUGAAAUGCGCAGAUAUCAGGAGGAACACCGAUGGCGAAGGCAGGUCUCUGGGCCACUACUGACGCUGAGAAGCGAAAGCAUGGGGAGCGAACAGG
rnacentral:rRNA from 1 species